ACGAUGGGUCGAUUCCCGCUCUCCCCAUCUUCAGUAAUGGAAACCUAAAAUGCGCCGUGCCACAGUGCAGAUUUUGGAACUCCCGCCUCACGCCUUUCCCUCCCUCGCGUGCCCGUGCGAGUCCUGCGUAAGCCUCAGCAUCAUUACUGAGCCUCACCACUCUCUUCCCACCCGAUCAUGACACGUCGAGGCUGUGCUCGUACCAUGGCCUCUUCCUCACCGACGAUCGCAGCAAGCAAACCUUUCAAGCAAGGCCUGUUUUGGAACACGGCGAUGCGGAGGGAUGUGUGAGGAGGGCUUUCGUGGAUUAGGACUCGGCCUAGCUGAUGCUUGGCUUGUGACAAAUUGGAUGAUCAGUUUACGUUCAGAUUGUGCGAGUAGGAAUUGACGUUUUGGUAGUGCUCAAUUGGUGAUGAGUUGAUCUCGGAUUGUGGGAUUGUUGGAAUUGAAGAGAUCGUGCCCUGACUAGGUGGUGCAUUGGUUUAGAAUCUAGAAGGCUGAUUGAAAUGCUUCUGUUGUCUUUGCAAGUAUCAUGCUGGGUUUCGUUGCAUAAAUUUGUUGCACCUUAUGAUCCCAACUGGUACUGCGUAUGAUAUUUGGUCAUGUUGCUACGUUCUUAGACUGUCGGCCAGUGAGUCGUUCCCGCGUUUUGUUCAAAAUCGUUAACAGUGAACACCUUGUACGUGGAGGACUCUUCUCUUACUGAAAUUUCAUUUUAUCCUUUUUAUGUGAAAUCUCAUAAGUUGGCAACCAGCCUGGAGAGCUAAAAUCACAAUUUCUGGUAUUCAGUGCAAA